rnacentral:rRNA from 1 species
GACGAACGCUGGCGGCGUGCUUAACACAUGCAAGUCGAACGGAAAGGCCCUGCUUUUGUGGGGUGCUCGAGUGGCGAACGGGUGAGUAACACGUGAGUAACCUGCCCUUGACUUUGGGAUAACUUCAGGAAACUGGGGCUAAUACCGGAUAGGAGCUCCUGCUGCAUGGUGGGGGUUGGAAAGUUUCGGCGGUUGGGGAUGGACUCGCGGCUUAUCAGCUUGUUGGUGGGGUAGUGGCUUACCAAGGCUUUGACGGGUAGCCGGCCUGAGAGGGUGACCGGCCACAUUGGGACUGGGAUGCGGCCCAGACUCCUACGGGAGGCAGCAGUGGGGAAUAUUGCACAAUGGGCGGAAGCCUGAUGCAGCAACGCCGCGUGCGGGAUGACGGCCUUCGGGUUGUAAACCGCUUUCGCCUGUGACGAAGCGUGAGUGACGGUAAUGGGUAAAGAAGCACCGGCUAACUACGU